rnacentral:rRNA from 1 species
UACGAAGGGGGCUAGCGUUGCUCGGAAUCACUGGGCGUAAAGGGUGCGUAGGCGGGGCUUUAAGUCAGGGGUGAAAUCCUGGAGCUCAACUCCAGAACUGCCUUUGAUACUGAGGAUCUUGAGUUCGGGAGAGGUGAGUGGAACUGCGAGUGUAGAGGUGAAAUUCGUAGAUAUUCGCAAGAACACCAGUGGCGAAGGCGGCUCACUGGCCCGGAACUGACGCUGAGGUGCGAAAGCGUGGGGAGCAAACAGG